GGGGAUGUAGUCUAGCGGUUAUGACCCGUGCCUUGGGAGCACGUCCACGCAUGUUCGAAUCAUGCCAUCCCCG
rnacentral:tRNA from 1 species